ACAGGACGGAAAGACCCCGUGGAGCUUUACUGCAACCUGAUAUGGAAUGUUUGUACCGCUUGUACAGGAUAGGUAGGAGCCGAAGAGACGUGUGCGCUAGCAUACGAGGAGGCAAUGGUGGGAUACUACCCUGGCUGUAUGACCAUUCUAACCCGCCACGCUUAGCGCGUGGGGAGACAGUGUCAGGUGGGCAGUUUGACUGGGGCGGUCGCCUCCUAAAGAGUAACGGAGGCGCCCAAAGGUUCCCUCAGAAUG
rnacentral:rRNA from 1 species